GGAGAGGUGGCCGAGCGGUUUAAGGUACCUGACUCGAAAUCAGGCGUAGGGAAACCUACCGUGGGUUCGAAUCCCACCCUCUCCGCCA
rnacentral:tRNA from 1 species